ensembl:snoRNA
CCAGUACUGUGUGUGCAUUAAUCUGUGUGUGUUGUGUGUGUGAGUCUGUGUGCACCCACACACACACACACACACACACACACACACACACACACAU